GUGAGGAAUAUUGGACAAUGGGCGCAAGCCUGAUCCAGCCAUGCCGCGUGCAGGAAGACGCAUCUAUGGUGUGUAAACUGCUUUUGUACGGGAAGAAACACUCCCUCGUGAGGGAGCUUGACGGUACCGUAAGAAUAAGGAUCGGCUAACUCCGUGCCAGCAGCCGCGGUAAUACGGAGGAUCCAAGCGUGAUCCGGAAUCAUUGGGUUUAAAGGGUCCGUAGGCGGUUUAAUAAGUCAGUGGUGAAAGCCCAUCGCUCAACGAUGGAACGGCCAUUGAUACUGUUAGACUUGAAUUACAAGGAAGUAACUAGAAUAUGUAGUGUAGCGGUGAAAUGCUUAGAUAUUACAUGGAAUACCAAUUGCGAAGGCAGGUUACUACUUGUGGAUUGACGCUGAUGGACGAAAGCGUGGGGAGCGAACAGGAUUAGAUACCCGAGUAGUCC
rnacentral:rRNA from 1 species